UACGUAGGGUGCGAGCGUUAAUCGGAAUUACUGGGCGUAAAGCGUGCGCAGGCGGUUCGUGAUGUCUGGUGUGAAAGCCCCGGGCUUAACCUGGGAAUUGCAUUGGAAACUAGCGGGCUGGAGUGUGGCAGAGGGGGGUGGAAUUCCACGUGUAGCAGUGAAAUGCGUAGAUAUAUGGAGGAAUACCGGUGGCGAAGGCGGCCUCCUGGCUCGACACUGACGCUGAGGUGCGAAAGCGUGGGGAUCAAACAGG
rnacentral:rRNA from 1 species